rnacentral:rRNA from 1 species
UACGGGAGGCAGCAGUGGGGAAUUUUUGGACAAUGGGGGAAACCCUGAUCCAGCCCUUUCCGCGUGAGUGAAGAAGGCCUUCGGGUUGUAAAGCUCUUUUGUCCGGAACGAAACGGGUAACGUGAAUAUCGUUGCCUACUGACGGUACCGGAAGAAUAAGCACCGGCUAACUACGUGCCAGCAGCCGCGGUAAUACGUAGGGUGCGAGCGUUAAUCGGAAUUACUGGGCGUAAAGCGUGCGCAGGCGGUCUUGUAAGCCAGAUGUGAAAUCCCCGGGCUUAACCUGGGAAUGGCAUUUGGGACUGCAAGGCUGGAGUUUGGCAGAGGAGACUGGAAUUCCUGGUGUAGCAGUGAAAUGCGUAGAUAUCAGGAGGAACACCGAUGGCGAAGGCAGGUCUCUGGGCUGAAACUGACGCUCAAGCACGAAAGCGUGGGGAGCAAACAGGAUUAGAUACCCUGGUAGUCCACGCCCUAAACGAUGUCGACUGGUUGUUGGGGGUUUGACACUCUCAGUAACGAAGCUAACGCGUGAAGUCGACCGCCUGGGGAGUACGGCCGCAAGGUUAAAACUCAAAGGAAUUGACGGGGACCCGCACAAGCGGUGGAUUAUGUGGAUUAAUUCGAUGCAACGCGAAAAACCUUACCUACCCUUGACAUGUCCGAGAGGCCGCAGAGAUGUGGCUGUGCCCGAAAGGGAAUCGGAACACAGGUGCUGCAUGGCUGUCUCAGCU